rnacentral:rRNA from 1 species
UACGUAGGGUGCAAGCGUUGUCCGGAAUUAUUGGGCGUAAAGAGCUUGUAGGCGGUUUGUCGCGUCUGCUGUGAAAUUUCGGGGCUCAAGCCCCCGAACUUGCAGUGGGUACGGGCAGAACUAGAGUGUGGUAGGGGAGACUGGAAUUCCUGGUGUAGCGGUGGAAUGCGCAGAUAUCAGGAAGAACACCGACGGCGAAGGCAGCUCGCUGGGACGGUACUGACGCUGAGGCGCGAAAGCGUGGGGAGCGAACAGG